rnacentral:sRNA from 3 species
GCUUUCAACAUCCCCGUCUCAGAGGCAAAGGACGGCGCUGAUGGUUUGGCGCUCGACGUCUCGGUGAGACUGAAGGC